rnacentral:rRNA from 1 species
AGCGAACGCUGGCGGCAGGCCUAACACAUGCAAGUCGAACGAACCUUUCGGGGUUAGUGGCGGACGGGUGAGUAACACGUGGGAACGUGCCUUUAGGUUCGGAUUAACUCAGGGAAACUUGUGCUAAUACCGAAUGUGCCCUUCGGGGGAAAGAUUUAUCGCCUUUAGAGCGGCCCGCGUCUGAUUAGCUAGUUGGUUGAGGUAAUGGCUCACCAAGGCGACGAUCAGUAGCUGGUCUGAGAGGAUGAUCAGCCACAUUGGGACUGAGACACGGCCCAAACUCCUACGGGAGGCAGCAGUGGGGAAUCUUGCGCAAUGGGCGAAAGCCUGACGCAGCCAUGCCGCGUGAAUGAUGAAGGUCUUAGGAUUGUAAAAUUCUUUCACCGGGGACGAUAAUGACGGUACCCGGAGAAGAAGCCCCGGCUAACUUCGUG